UAACGCGUGGGAAUCUGCCCUGGAGUGGGGGAUAACCCGGCGAAAGCCGGGCUAAUACCGCAUACGUCCUGAGGGAGAAAGAUUUAUCGCUCUAGGAGGGGCCCGCGUCGGAUUAGCUAGUUGGUGAGGUAAUGGCUCACCAAGGCUACGAUCCGUAGCUGGUCUGAGAGGAUGAUCAGCCACACUGGGACUGAGACACGGCCCAGACUCCUACGGGAGGCAGCAGUAGGGAUUAUUGGACAAUGGGCGAAACCCUGAUCCAGCAAUGCCGCGUGAGUGAUGAAGCCCUUAGGGUUGU
rnacentral:rRNA from 1 species